AAGCGAGAGACUGAAGAUUGCUGAAUAAACUGCUGUUGAGAAGGACUGGUGGUCAUGUCGUUCUUGCUAGUCGAGAGCAGACACAACAAUUGGUGGCCCACAUGGGGAACCGUCUCCCCCACCAACAAGUUCAGAACUUUCAGCAGUCAGUGUUUGCCAGCAGGGUAAGUUCAUGAGUUUUUCUAUAUAGCCUUGGCUUUCCUGGAACAUGCUCUGUAGCAUUUUCAAGGCAGGCCUCGAACCCACAGAGAUCUGCCCACCUCUGAGUCUUGACUUUCAAUAACUGGAUGAGUGGAGACAAAGGCUCCUCCAUUCUUUAGCUUCAAGACAUAUCACAGACUGAGCCUUUGUUCUCUAGGCUCAAGGUGCUCCAGUGAGUGAGACAGCGAGCGAAAAAGAGGCUCCAGAAGGCCUACUCAAGAGAAGAAGACCUGCUACAUUAGACGUCUCCACGCAGAAAACCUUGAGACUCCAGUGGAAAGGCCCUUAUCUUGUAUUCUUGACGACCCUACUUUCUACCUUUAUGGGACCCCUUUUGAUUUUGCUUCUGCUUUUAAUUAUAGGUCCAUGUGUGUUAAAUAGGCAAGUCACCUUUAUUAGAACAAAAAUGAGUGCAUUAGACAUGUAAGUAUACAUACUUGGAUGCAUGUAUAUACAUAUAGACGUUAUUCACUCCGCCAGCUUUACUGUCUUCCGCUUUUGUUUAAAAAAAAACUUGGACAUUUAUCAACAGUGAUGAUAUAUAUUCUAUAAUUAACUUCAAUACUUUUAUCCUGAAUAUGAAUAUGGAACCAAC
rnacentral:lncRNA from 1 species